AACGACUCUCGGCAACGGAUAUCUCGGCUCUUGCAUCGAUGAAGAACGUAGCGAAAUGCGAUACUUGGUGUGAAUUGCAGAAUCCCGUGAACCAUCGAGUUUUUGAACGCAAGUUGCGCCUGAGACCUUUAGGUCGAGGGCACGUCUGCCUGGGC
rnacentral:rRNA from 1 species